GGUAAUUGACAAAGGUAUAUCAACAUGUGAAUAAAUGCCAUGAUUAUCCAAGUGGGGACACUUGUAUAACCAUUUAGAAAUCAACUUAACAGAAUAUAUAUCUGAGCUAACAUGUUGAUAAUCAAAGCGUACAUAAUCUGUACAGGAAUAGAAUAAUUCUGAAACUUCUUACUCAUGUCCAUUGCAUAAAGGAAAUGCAAAGGUAAGAUACUUGCCUGAUUCGCUGAUUACAAAUCUCAACUUAGGUUUUAUCUCUUUAUCACAACCUAUCAAUAAUCAGAUCAUUCGUUCGAUUAGAACAAUAUAUCAUAACACAUAGUACUGUCUAUUACAGUCAGCACAUAGUCUAAUCACGUCAUCACAUAAUCGCAGUGAUCAUACUUUUAGUUCAUAUUCUAUACUUGAAAUAUUUUUAUACAUUUUUCAAAUAUCUCAUCCAUGCUCUUACAGAAGCCUUUUCUUUCUAUUAUAGGGUCUGACAUUUGUCGGCGUACCGACAGCUUUAUCGGGUAAAUACUGAGUCUAAGACUCUUAUCCUAUACCUCAACAUCUGUAAAUAUCAAACAUUUUAUUUUUAAUCAUUUUCGAAUUUUCCAGAAAUUGAAAAAUUUAAAAUAAUUCAAAUCUGUCACUACCGGGCCUAUAGUGAUAUAACUGUUACUAUAGGUGUUCCUCAAAACUUCAUAACUUCAUAAUCGGUUCUCAAGUCAGCUAGUUUGGCCGGCUAUAACUUUCAAACAUCGGAAUCAUAAUUAAAUGAUUUAAAC
rnacentral:lncRNA from 1 species